UGAUAGUACCUUACUACAUGGAUACCUGUGGUAAUUCUAGAGCUAAUACAUGCUGAAAACCUCGACUUCGGAAGGGGUGUAUUUAUUAGAUAAAAAACCAAUGCCCUUCGGGGCUCCUUGGUGAAUCAUAAUAACUUAACGAAUCGCAUGGCCUUGCGCCGGCGAUGGUUCAUUCAAAUUUCUGCCCUAUCAACUUUCGAUGGUAGGAUAGUGGCCUACCAUGGUGGCAACGGGUAACGGGGAAUUAGGGUUCGAUUCCGGAGAGGGAGCCUGAGAAACGGCUACCACAUCCAAGGAAGGCAGCAGGCGCGCAAAUUACCCAAUCCCGACACGGGGAGGUAGUGACAAUAAAUACUGAUACGGGGCUCUUUUGGGUCUCGUAAUUGGAAUGAGUACAAUCUAAAUCCCUUAACGAGGAACAAUUGGAGGGCAAGUCUGGUGCCAGCAGCCGCGGUAAUUCCAGCUCCAAUAGCGUAUAUUAAAGUUGUUGCAGUUAAAAAGCUCGUAGUUGAACCUUGGGUCUGGCUGGCCGGUCCGCCUCACCGCGAGUACUGGUCCGGCUGGACCUUUCCUUCUGGGGAAUCUCAUGGCCUUCACUGGCUGUGGGGGGAACCAGGACUUUUACUGUGAAAAAAUUAGAGUGUUCAAAGCAGGCCUUUGCUCGAAUACAUUAGCAUGGAAUAAUAGAAUAGGACGUGCGGUUCUAUUUUGUUGGUUUCUAGGACCGCCGUAAUGAUUAAUAGGGAUAGUCGGGGGCGUCAGUAUUCAGCUGUCAGAGGUGAAAUUCUUGGAUUUGCUGAAGACUAACUACUGCGAAAGCAUUCGCCAAGGAUGUUUUCAUUAAUCAGGGAACGAAAGUUAGGGGAUCGAAGACGAUCAGAUACCGUCGUAGUCUUAACCAUAAACUAUGCCGACUAGGGAUCGGACGGUGUUUCUAUUAUGACCCGUUCGGCACCUUACGAGAAAUCAAAGUUUUUGGGUUCUGGGGGG
rnacentral:rRNA from 1 species